UACGGAGGGUGCAAGCGUUAAUCGGAAUUACUGGGCGUAAAGCGCACGCAGGCGGUUAUAUAAGUCAGAUGUGAAAGCCCCGGGCUCAACCUGGGAACUGCAUUUGAAACUGUGUAACUAGAGUCUUGUAGAGGGGGGUAGAAUUCCAGGUGUAGCGGUGAAAUGCGUAGAGAUCUGGAGGAAUACCGGUGGCGAAGGCGGCCCCCUGGACAAAGACUGACGCUCAGGUGCGAAAGCGUGGGGAG
rnacentral:rRNA from 1 species